rnacentral:rRNA from 1 species
UACGAAGGGGGCAAGCGUUGUUCGGAAUUACUGGGCGUAAAGGGUGUGUAGGCGGUUGCCUAAGUCAGUUGUUUAAUUCCAUGGCCUAACCAUGGACCUGCGAUUGAUACUGGGCGACUUGAGGAUGAAAGAGAGAAGUGGAAUUCUCGGAGUAGCGGUUAAAUGCGUAGAUCUCGAGAGGAACACCGGUGGCGAAGGCGGCUUCUUGGUUCAUUUCUGACGCUGAGACACGAAAGCGUGGGGAGCAAACAGG